rnacentral:rRNA from 1 species
ACCAUGCACCGAAGCUGCGGCAGCGACACUGUGUGUUGUUGGGUAGGGGAGCGUUCUGUAAGCCUGUGAAGGUGUGUCGUGAGGCAUGCUGGAGGUAUCAGAAGUGCGAAUGCUGACAUAAGUAACGAUAAAGCGGGUGAAAAGCCCGCUCGCCGGAAGACCAAGGGUUCCUGUCCAACGUUAAUCGGGGCAGGGUGAGUCGACCCCUAAGGCGAGGCCGAAAGGCGUAGUCGAUGGGAAACGGGUUAAUAUUCCCGUACUUGGUGUUACUGCGAAGGGGGGACGGAGAAGGCUAUGUUGGCCGGGCGACGGUUGUCCCGGUUUAAGCGUGUAGGUGUGUGUUCCAGGUAAAUCCGGUUCACUUUAACACUGAGGCGUGACGACGAGGCACUACGGUGCUGAAGCAACAAAUGCCCUGCUUCCAGGAAAAGCCUCUAAGCAUCAGGUAACAUCAAAUCGUACCCCAAACCGACACAGGUGGUCAGGUAGAGAAUACCAAGGCGCUUGAGAGAACUCGGGUGAAGGAACUAGGCAAAAUGGUGCCGUAACUUCGGGAGAAGGCACGCUGACACGUAGGUGAAGUGAUUUACUCAUGGAGCUGAAGUCAGUCGAAGAUACCAGCUGGCUGCAACUGUUUAUUAAAAACACAGCACUGUGCAAACACGAAAGUGGACGUAUACGGUGUGACGCCUGCCCGGUGCCGGAAGGUUAAUUGAUGGGGUCAGCGCAAGCGAAGCUCCUGAUCGAAGCCCCGGUAAACGGCGGCCGUAACUAUAACGGUCCUAAGGUAGCGAAAUUCCUUGUCGGGUAAGUUCCGACCUGCACGAAUGGCGUAAUGAUGGCCAGGCUGUCUCCACCCGAGACUCAGUGAAAUUGAACUCGCUGUGAAGAUGCAGUGUACCCGCGGCAAGACGGAAAGACCCCGUGAACCUUUACUAUAGCUUGACACUGAACAUUGAGCCUUGAUGUGUAGGAUAGGUGGGAGGCUUUGAAGUGUGGACGCCAGUCUGCAUGGAGCCGACCUUGAAAUACCACCCUUUAAUGUUUGAUGUUCUAACGUGGACCCGUUACCCGGGUUGCGGACAGUGUCUGGUGGGUAGUUUGACUGGGGCGGUCUCCUCCUAAAGAGUAACGGAGGAGCACGAAGGUUGGCUAAUC